rnacentral:rRNA from 1 species
UACGGGGGGGGCAAGCGUUUGUUCGGAAUUACUGGGCGUAAAGGGUUCGUAGGUGGCUUGUUAAGUCAGACGUGAAAUCCCUCGGCUCAACCGGGGAACUGCGUCUGAGACUGAUGAGCUCGAGUGCAGGAGAGGAACGCGGAAUUCCAGGUGUAGCGGUGAAAUGCGUAGAUAUCUGGAGGAACACCGGUGGCGAAGGCGGCGUUCUGGACUGCAACUGACACUGAGGAACGAAAGCCAGGGGAGCAAACGGG